rfam:Glycine soja cultivar W05 scaffold3283_8, whole genome shotgun sequence.
UUCUUAUUGGAUCAUGAUUGUCACAUGUCAUGUUCUGAUUGGAUGUCAACUCCAUGAAAGAUGAAACAUAUUAUUGUUUUCAUUGACCAAUCAGAACGUGACACGUGACAGUCAUGAUUC